CCGUCGAUAGCUCAGUUGGCAGAGCGGUGGACAGUAAACGCCGAAAUCCAUAGGUCGCUGGUUCGACUCCGGCUCGACGGA